AGUGCUCAGAAGCAUCGCCGCCCGUCACAGCAGCAGCAGCAAGAAAAACGUGUCACCGUGCUACAGUAACCGUGCAGCAGCCGUGUUCUGUUUUCACUCAAUUUGAACGGGGAAUCAAAAAAAGUGACCAAAUCAGAAAGAUGGCCACAUCGAGCAGUGCGAAAAUUACGGAAAUCUUGCUGGAAACGGAGCGAGUCGGCGAUCGCGUGCUGGCGCUGAAGCAGGAGUUGAUAAAUCUGGACCGGCGACGGCAGGAAACGCGCGAGGCGAUCCGAACCGUUCAGAAGAACUUCCCGGACCGGGACGGGCAGAAGGUGUGGAUCACGGUCGGUUCCAUGUUGAUGAAGAUGCCCCGCGGGAAGGCGCUGGAGCUGCUCGGGAAGGAUGCGGCCCAGAUUGAGGCGGAGAUUGGCACGCUGAGGACGGAGCAGAAGGUGCUGGUCAGCAGGCAGCGCGACCUGGAGCACGAUACGCCGCUGCGGGGGUUCGACUUGAAGCCGCUGAGUCGGGCGGAACUGGGCGCGAUCGGGGCCGCCGUGCCGCGGGUUUAAAGAUCUCUCAAUCCAAUUACUCGUUAGGGUUUAAGUCUAUUUUUAAGUAAUAAACAUAAUGUUCCGACUACCGGCAGUGAUGCGUUGUGCGGCGGCCCGCCAGGUAGCUUACCGUGGCUAUGCCAAGGACGUUCGCUUUGGGCCGGAGGUGCGCGCCCUGAUGUUGCAGGGAGUGGACGUGCUGGCCGAUGCCGUGG